GGCGGGUUUCCCGAGUGGCCAAAGGGAUCUGACUGUAAAUCAGACGCGUGAGCUUCGCAGGUUCGAAUCCUGCACCCGCCA
rnacentral:tRNA from 1 species